GUAAACAUCUCUUUGCCUCUAGAAUGGUCAAUAGGUGAUGGCCAGAAGAAAGACACUUGGUACUUUGAUGGAGCCUUUUUGCCUAGGGCUGGAAGGAAGAGGAAGGAGCCAAACCCAGAGUUACUGGGGCAUUAUAAGCUCACACAGCUUCCUAUAGAGAAUUCUAUUUUCUGUUUGUUUUCUGACAACCACGUGGAUCAAAAUAUAACUUUAAUGUGAAAAUUCAUCUUUCAUUCUACAGAUACUAAACACUACUGGACUAUAAAAAUGGUUUGAAGAUAUAUUGAUAAGAAAGCUUCAUGGAGUACCAUGGACUUCACUUAUCCUCAGAGUGUGAAGAAAUGCACAGACUGGCUAAAAGAUUUACCCUGGCCUAAACCCCUAACCCGCAGAUUCCAAGCUGCUUCCAUCCUUGACCAGGAGGUUCCCCCACUUCUAUGCUCACAUUUAAGCAGAUUCCACAUGCAGCUUCAAUGGAUACAGACUCCAGCUUUCAUAGCAAGCUCCACUUCCUAAUUGCUGAAGAAUCUGGCCCUACCAACACUAUUACUUUGAGCAGGAAAGAAAAUAUCCUGAAAGGUGCCCCAGGAUAAGGGAAUGGGAGAGUAAGUGUAAAUAGAGCAGGAGGCUGGGCAGACCAACAAGAAAUGUUUAACAUUCCACACUCUCCACAAAGGGCAGGUCAAGAAAAGGGAAUGAGUGGUUGGGAUGAAGCACAUGCCACAGAUAUUUUUCAAGUACUGCUCAGCAGAGUAUAUCUGGUCACGUAAACAUCCACAACAAACAGAACAGCCUUGUUCUUGAACGUGGCAAACUUCCUAAGUCCUCCUAUACAGCAGGAGAUGGGUCUCAAUGUUCCGGGAAGACACAGCUGCUGAAUUCACAGUGAUAGGCACAAACAACACUGAAAGCUAUGGCCAGAAUGCCAGAUCUUUUCAGAUGCAACCAGUUGAGCCUUUGCUUGCUCACAUGCUAGUCAAACCAUUAUACAGUCCAGUAACUUAUGUACUGAAUGACUCUGGACAGGUAGGAGAUGGAUGGGGGAACCUGUCAAAGUAAUAACUCGAUGUUUUUGGGAACACUAAAAACUCCCCUAUGACAAGUGAAAGUUUGCAAGUUUCUGACCCUUGUUAUCCUCAGGUGCAAUCCAAAGUAAUUGCAUGAAGAUCAGUUAUUAAAGCUACCUUUUAAUUUACACAAAGUUAAAGCAACAGGUUGGAUUCCAUUUACAGAUCGUGUCACUUAGAGAGCCUUGAAUUAGUGAGGCUGUGGUGAUGUAGAAGUGGUAUGAGAUCAAAAGAAGGUUUGUAUGCCACACCAUGUCUAAUAGCAGUUGGCUGUGUAGAUAUGUGUCUUCAGAAAGCUGCAAAAUAUUUAGCAGAAUUAAAAUACUUAUAUGAGCUAAAUCUUUCUCCCCUAUGAAUCAGGGACUACCUUUGUCAAGGGAUAAUAUCAAGGUCCUGGAUACUCAUGAGGAUAUGCCCAUUGCCUGUCUAAUGCCUAUAUUGCUAGCUGUUCUAUCAUUGCUUGUCCUACUGGGGUAGGACCACACAGGGAUCCUAAAGGGGCCAAAUUCUUCCUCCUGUGGCCUAUGAAUUCACAUCAUACCUCCACUGCCGCAGAUACUCAGCAGUUGCCAGUGAGGCUGCACUGGUUGGCAAAACCUUUUAUUUAGAAAAGGAAGGAGUGCUCUACAAAUCUACCCAGUUUUUAGGAACUGCAGAGAAACAGAAGGGUUUGGAGAGCUCUCUCUGCCACACUUUGAAAGACCUGAAUCUGUCCCGCUUUGGCAUUAAUAGUUGUCUAGAUUACUGUGAGUUUUUGGGUGCUGUGACUGUGAACACUGCCUCUGAGUAAAUGAAUGAUGUAGCUCUGCUACCCAGGGCACUCACUGUACCCAUUUUCAUACUUUUCUUCUCUCUCAGUGGCUUAAAAGUGAGUAUUAGCAGCUAUUUUGCCUCAUGUGCAGUUUGAAACCCCUUACUGGGUAGUUUGCGUGGUGAUCCAGGGAGAGGUGAACCUCCCAGAGCUUGAGUUUUGCAGAUAUGAGAUUUUUUGGUUUUGUAUUUGAGAUGGCAGGGUUCAGAAAUCGAGCUGGAGUUCAUGAACCUAUUCUUCCUGUAACUGAAACCCAUGUUUUAGUCAGGGUUGAUUCAAUUUUUAAAAUAAAUGUUUUCCUAGUUACAGGGAAAGCCAGUGCUAUGUAUAAGGGGUAGAAUAACACCCUUUCAAUAUCCAUGUGUCAUGGGUGGGUGGCCUAUAUACAGGAUAUGCAUGCUCACAAAAUCUCGCUUCGAGCAAGAGAUUUUUCCUCUCUCCCCAUCUGUUCUUUGCUGCCUACUGCCCUGCCAUAACUUCUGUCAUCUUUCUCCCUUCUCUCUCAGCUAUUUCCAAAUCAACUGCCAUCUCUUUUGUUUUUCUUUUUUCUUUUUGCUACAUUUCUGGUCAUUAUUUACAGUUUCUCUAGAUGGCAAUUGAUCUCGGUAUCAUUAGACUUAACCAACAUACACUUUUUUGUCCAGUUUCAGCUUAAGUAGAGUUUACUUUUCCUUAAUGAAUCUGCAUGUCUGAACUUGAAUUACCAGCAGAAACAGUGACAAGAGGAUCGUAUUGCUUGGGCACAUCAUCUGUCCAACCAGAGUCAGCAACAGCACCUACUGUCUUGAAGCACCUGGAAUACCAGAUUUCUUUGCAGACACCCAAAUGUACAGAGUAGGGAUGCACCAUGCUAAUAUCCAUGACUUUACCCUCACAGGAAGGGAAAGACAGAAGCCUGUGUGUUAUGAGCAAUCUCCAGUAUCUACAUCUGAGCCUGCAGCCCUUUUGCCCAGUGAUAUAUCACUGCUAGGAAAAAAUAUCACUCCCAGGAAAAACUCCCUGAGGAUGAAAGGAUUUUUCCUUUCUGGAUUGUGGUCACAUGUAUGUGAAACUCCCAUUCAUGCUGGGAAAAAUUCCAUGUACAGAUCAAGGGCAGCACAAUCUUAGGUAUUCUGUCAUCUGCCAAGAACAGAUGCAUCAAUUUUAUUUCAUAAAACUGUGGAAUUAUCUAUUGCAGAGGGGAGAAAAAUCAUGAAAAACUUGUUAGGAUACCAGACAGGAAAAUGUAAAUAACCACACAUGGCAGCAUCUGCUCCUGAUCAGGUUCUAUUCUUUGAUCUUUGAAAGAUGGCUAUUAAUUAAUUGUCAAAGCCAAGUCUUUUAUUGGAAACAAUGCUCUUCUGAACCGCCCAGAUAACAGAGUUUGUUGUAGUUCUGCUGUGCAAACUAUCUCUGGGAGGGAUUCUUCAGACAAAUAGGAUAACAAAAUUACCUUAGUAUAAAUGGUUUAGAAGUUAGACCAUGCCCAUGGUAGACAGAGGAGAGAUUUUAUAGACAACCACGAGGACUGGAUUGUUUGAAAUCUUAGAUUAAAUGGGCUCGAGUCAUACUGAGGUGGCUGAUACGGCAACUGAGAUUGCAGUUGCUGAUUGCAAUGUGAAUGUUUAUCAGCCGCGUCAAAUCCCAUCUGUGACAUAAAAGCCAUGCUGUUACAGCUCCAAGACUGCUGAAACACUGCUGUUAAACAGCGUUCCAGUCUUGUACCAUUGGUUUGAAUUGAAGAACUUUCAGCGAGCUCACUGAAUAAACUGUAAAGUGUUACCGUGGUGCUCAUGUGGUUGUACCCCAGGAUGGUUUGCAGUACCAGCCCCUGAGGCUGGUCUCCAAUCUAGAGUGGUUUUGGGCUAAAUCCCAAUGCCUAAUGUCAAACCACAUGGCAAGAGUUAAACAUUGGACCCACAGUUAUGUUCUAGAGCUGAGUUUCAUCAGUUUCCAGAGUAGCAUUUCUGAUUCCACUUCCUCAGAAUUCAUCAGUAAACUGGAACAAAUCUCACCUCUAAUUUAAAUGUGGGUCAUAAAAUUUACAGGCAACAUCUUUUGUUGACAUCAUAUAAAAAUGCACUGGUUUUCAAAUGAAAGUCAAAGUGGCCUAUUCAUAGAAGGAAUGGGAAAUUACUUCGAUUCCUCUUAAUUUUCACAUGGCAACGAGCAUUAGAAGUUCCAGGUCUGAGACUGUGUCUCUCUCUGCUACAAGACAUGUAGAAGAACAGACUGUGUCAAUUUGCACAUGUAUUUGAUAUAUGGUCCAUGGGAUUAGAAUUAGGUCAUUAGGAUUAGAACUGCAGUUUUAUUGUUUUCAGGGCUGAAUAUUCAGAAAAUCACAGACAUCUUGUCUGACUGCUAAUGUGGUUUGGCAAUGGAGGAGCUCAUCCUCUUGAAAAUGAUGUGUAUGCAAAUACACAAACACUUCCUGCUAGCACAAUCCAACAUAUGCUUGAUAUAAUAAGAAAGAAUUUGGCUCCCUGCUCAUGAAAAAAAUGUGUAACAUAUUGGGCUAUUUAUCAUUGCCUCUGUAACUGCUUUGAUAGAAAUUAUUCAGAGAUAAUAAAAACUUAGCUUCACAUGAAAGCUUAUGGCCAACAAGAAAAUGGCUGACUGGGCAGUGACAAAUAAUACACAAGUAAUACCCAAAAUAGCUGAAAACGUCUUUUAAAAUAUGGGCACCUGUGAUUUAGGCCUACAACUGAACAGAACCAGGUUAUGAUGUUACUAUGGCACUGCCUGUGUGACUAUAGUAUCUCGUGUAAGAGCACACGUAGUGUGAGAUCAUCAGUCAUUAAAACCUUACACAAAAUGCUAUGACAAAACUAUGGCUGAAUAUGAUUGGAAGAGUAUGAAAACUCUAAAUCCAGUAGUCUUUGGUUCACUGUUAAGGUCAUGGUGAUUGCAUAGCUGAAAACUAUUGCUCUGGAUGUUACGAAGGGGAAGCUGUGGUAUUUUUAAGAAGAACUCACCAUGUUCUUUCCCUUCAGAGUCAUAGAACUGUGUCACAUUUUCAUUGUAUCAGCUAGGAUUUUACCAGUCUGUGCAUCCAGCUUUCUCCUUGGGGCCUGUUAAGACCUGAGCCAAAACAUUUCUGUGUCUGCCUGCAGCACCAGGGAAGCUUUGCACAGGGCAACAUCCAGCUCCUUGCUCUCCACACCUCUGCUGUCUCUCCCCUUUUUCAGCCAUACUCACACACUUUCCUUCUGGGCUUGGCCCAACUCUUCACCUUUUUCCAUAGAAACUGCCUGUGGAGCUGCAGUGAUCCAGAUUGUACAAUGUUUGUAACCGUGUCUCCGGCUUGCUUGAUAUACUUGAUUUGGUAAAGAAAUGAGGUACACAAAUGUUGUAGCAGUCUGAGCUGUACUUGUUCAGAGGACCUAGCUGUAAAGCAGUGAGGACACCAGCAGUUAAGUUGUUUAAUAAUUUGGUGCUUACAAUUAACAAUCAGCACAAGCAAACUUGAACUUUAAGAGAAGUUUGAUGCAAUGCUAGAGAGACCUUUUAUUUUUGAGACCUUUGUGGCAAACAUCAAAUUACUGACUCUAAAUGGGGCGAGAUAUUUCUUUCUUUCUUGAUGUGUGGGGAUGCACUUGGGAGCAUGAUCUGGUUCAUUCUGCUGGCUAAAAUUUUUCACUCUGCUACCAACUAGACCAUAGCAACAGGGGCAGCAACAGCGACAACAAUAGGGACUUCUCUCUAUCCCCUUCUGCCUGAACACAAAGUACUAAAAACAGAUGCUAAUUGUAUGGUUCCAGAGAAAAAGAGUGAGCUGGGGUGACUCAGGACAUAUUCCCACUGCUGCACAAAGAAAAAUGAUAUUUAGAUAUCUGGAAAUACGUCUGUGGUUGACUGUGGCUGUUGAGGGCAGGGGAUGGGUGCGUGUGUGUACGCAAAAGCUCACAAACACCACCCUGAGUUAUUUUAAGCCCUGGAGACAAAACUGGUGAUUAUCUACUGUCUAAGUCGUUAGCAAAUGACUGUUCAGUGCUACAGGGGGACAGGCUGAACACAGAGACAAAUAAAGAAUGGGAUAAUAAACAGAAUUUUAUGUGUUUCUCUUGCAGCGUAAAACUUGUUACAAAUUACAUGUCUUUAAACAUAGGCAUAAAAACUUAUUGGAAAGCAGAGGGCGGCAACACUUAGACAAAAAUGUAAAUGUGACUCUGGUGCGUGUAUUUUUACCUGGGGGAAAUCAGUGCCUGCAAAAGCACUCAAAAUGAGAAUGCCUGUGAAAAUGAAAACAUUCAAGGCAAGAAUUUAUUACCCUACAAGUAUUUUUUUAUUCUGUUCUCCAACAUCCAAUCAAGUGGUAGGAAUGCAGGGCUCUGGAACGCAGUCACCCUUCUUUCAGUGAUUGACUGUGAGCAUUGAUGAGGAACUUAGGGCAGCAUUUGGAAACUUAUACCUCAGGCUGGACCCUUGAGUCUCCUAUUAGGUAUCUGAACAGCCAGCAGCAUCAUCAUCACCGGUACAAACUAGAAAUAUGAAUGGAAAACUUCAUUAGAAAUGCUAGUGAAGUUGCUUGUGUUGAUUAUUUACAAGCACCAAGGCUUGACCUGCUGCCUAUAAAAAUGCCUCUUGCUUUCAGUUACUGUAGUGGGACAGCAUGAAAUUUGAUUAGUUAUGUGAUAUCUCAUGCCACAGUUAUGUUUUUGUCACAGUAAAACUCUGGGUGCUGCAGGCUGGUUAUUAAUUAAGAAAUAGAUUUUGGCCCUUUGCUGUGACUUCCCUCUUGGACUUGCAGCAAGUAUUGUUUCAAGCAGUUUGUUUCUCCAAGCUCUUUUUAAGUAUUUCCUUGGUAGUUUAAAUAACAUCCUGGAAGGGCGAGUCUUUUCCUUGGUAUGGUCAUUCCGAGUCUCACAAGAUCUAAUUCACUCUUUAGGGCAUCUCCUCCAGCUUCUGGACAGACAUUAUUUCUUUUCAUUAAGGAGCUCCCAGCUGCAAAUAAGAUUGUUUAUGCAGACUUUGAGAGGCUAACAAGCAGAGCUAGUUUUACAGCCACCAAAAAAUCAAAAUUAUGGCUCUUGACACCACUUUGUGACCAAAGCCUCCUGAUUUUGAGGUCUUAUUUAUUGCAGUGAACUAGAUGUUAUAUUACCCUCCAGUUCCAACCUCAACAUUGCAAAACCCUGCAGUAAAACUUCGAGACCACGUAGGACUGCACUACCAGGAAGGAGCCAGGAGGGAAGUAGGAGCAAGAAGGGGUACAUUGGAGGCAGCUCUCCAGGACUCUGCAGCAGCUGGGAGCAGCCUGUGAAGGUCAGGAGGAGCGAACGGCUACUUGUCAGGGAUCACCAAGAGCUUCCAAUCUCUGCAGCUGUGAUACCCCAGCUUGCUGCUCUGAGCUCUGCACCCCAGGGUGCAACUCUCUCAUGUUGAGGAUUUAGAAAUUUUAAUCCAGGCCUUGGCUGGGUGCUCAGCAAUGGGCUUGGUUUCACUCAAUUGUUUGGCUUUCACUCAUCCUAUCACUGAAGAGCAGCAUCCAACCGUGUUUCUCUUCUCAGCAUUGCAAAGCUCACAUCUACACCGGCUGCACUGUGGCCCCAUUCCAUGUUUCUUUCCCUCUUUCUGGACUUAAGUUUCCAGGAUCUGAAAUGAGAAGAAUGGGUGAGUGAAGGAUUUGGUGGGGAGCAAAAAGUACCUUGUGAAACAGCAAAGAGAGGACGGCUAAGGAAGAAGGGAGAAGGAGAAGAGAAAGAAGCUGAGAGAUCAGGAAGGAGUGGAGUAAUCAAAUGCUUUGUGAGACUGAACCUCCAUUACUUCAAGACAGAGGUCUCAUGAAGCUCUAAACAACUUUAUUUUUGUCUGGUUACUGUAAACUGAUAAACAGGAACUGUGUUAGAGUAAUAAACAAAGAACAGGAAAGAGGAAACACCACUAAUCAAACAGGAACACAGACUGAGAACACAAAAGGAACAAACAGCAGUUACGUUUUGCACCAUUAUCUCUCAGGAGAAAGAAUGACAGGGUUACUGAGGCAGCACACUGGACAGAAACGAAAGGCACAGCUCUGGUGGGACAGAAGAAAACAUCAGUUUAUCAAAAACAUCAUGGGGCUUUAUUUAUUGCUAGGAAAGAGGAUGGGGACUGUUGACCUUGUGCAAAUUCUGGCUGCUGUUCCUCUUUCUACGUAGGAGAGCUUUACAAGCUGUAUAUGCAUCUGUAACUUCCCUAACUUAGAUCUGUGUCCAGUCUUUUGCAUGCAAGCUUGCAUUAACAGAAGGAACCUGUGUUAGCAUAAAAACAUGUACAACAUCCUGCUGCUGUCAAAUCCGGAUUAUGUUUGUUCUGAAUGGAGAGUGAAAAGAUAACUUCUUUCAUUUUUAUGUACUAGAAUUAUAUAUUAUAUAUAUAUGGCUGGUUUUUUUUUUGUUUUGUUUUACAGGAUUAUCCAUACAUAUGUAUAAAUAUAUAGAUUUAUUUAUGUACUUAUUUAUUUACUUUGUACAGGAACACCUUCUUUCAAGUGUUUUUAGCUUUUACACCAGGGCUAGGGAGGAAGCACCCUUUGUUCUUUUUCAGCAUGUAUGUUCUGUGUUCUAACCACAAAACCCUCCUUAGAAAACUGACAGUUUCUGUACCAAAUCCUUAGUAAAAAAUAGGUUUCAGAGGUUUUCUAAAUGUUGUUCUGUUCAUUCUGGAAAACAAAACUGUACUACUGGAAGUACUCCGUCACAGAUUUCAUCAUGUUAAGAUUCACUUAAUAACCUCAUGGCUUUCUGUUGCACUUAAAAAUAUGGAGGUGAAUGAUGAAGAACUGUUGGACUUCCCAAAAUAUUCAGAAUAUUCAUAAAUAAAAUGAGCAAGUGAGCUUCCAGUGGAUAAAAGCCAGCAGCAUUUGAUAUAUCUGAUUGUUCUUCAGUUAGAGAACUUGCACAAUGAUGAUCUAGACAGCACAGCACACUGUGCCCUCAUCAGUUUCGCAGAUGGUGCAGUAUGAGGAAGGGGUGGUUGAUACUCCAGAUGGUUUUGGUUCCAUUCAGGGGGAUUUUCACAAGUUGAAUAAAUAAGCCAACAAAAACCUUAUAAAAUUCAGAAAAGGAUAAUGCAGACCCUGCCUUGUAGGAAGAAUGGCUCCAUGCAGCAGUAUGUGCAAAAUGGGCCAGCAAUGUUUGUUUUCAGCUCAGAAGGCCAACCACAUCCUGGGAUGCAUCAAGAGAAGGAUGACCAGCAGGUUGAGAGAACUCUGCCCCUUUACUCUGCUCUCAUGAGACCCCACUUGGAGUACUGUGUCCAGUUCUGAAGCCCCCGGCACAAGAAGGACAUUGAACUGUUGGAGUUGUUCCUAAGGUGGGCCACGAGGAUAAUCAGAGGGCUGGAGCACCUCUCCCAUGAGGACAGACUGAGGAAGCUGGGGCUCUUCAGCCUGGAGAAGAGAAGGUUCUGAGGAGACCUUAUAGCAGCCUUCCAGUACCUGAAGGGGGCCUACAAGAAACUCAAGGAGGGACUUCUUUUUAUAAGGUAUGUAACAACAGGAUGAGGAGAAAUGGCUUUAAACUUGAGGAGGGUAGGUUUAAGACUAGAUAUUAUGAAGAAAUUAUUUUCUGUGAGGGUGGUGAA